rnacentral:lncRNA from 1 species
AUGUCUCUAGAGGGUAGACCAGAAAGAAAAGGGUGCACAAAGAGCAAGCUUAGGAUUUUUCUUUUGUUACUUCCUUUACCUCAAAUCUUUUUAUUUUCCAUAUCCAUAUGUCCAGUCUGCUCAAAUGUCCCCUUCAAGACAUUUUUCUCCUGCUACCAACGAGGAGAAAAGCGGCCAUAUUGGGCAACCCAAGGAGCAAGAAACCAUGAGUGGCCUCCAGGAACUGAAACCAAUAAGAAACUAAAGUCUGCAAUACUAUAA